AUAUUCUGGUUUCUCUUCAGAUUGUAUAAAUCUUUUGCCUUUUACUGAAGAUUUCCAUGGAGAAAGGCACGAGUGUCAAGUUUUUUUGUUUUUUUUUUUCAUUAGCAACAAAG